rnacentral:rRNA from 1 species
CCUACGGGAGGCUGCAGUGGGGAAUCUUGCACAAUGGGCGAAAGCCUGAUGCAGCGACGCCGCGUGAGUGAAGAAGUAUUUCGGUAUGUAAAGCUCUAUCAGCAGGGAAGAAAAUGACGGUACCUGACUAAGAAGCCCCGGCUAACUACGUGCCAGCAGCCGCGGUAAUACGUAGGGGGCAAGCGUUAUCCGGAUUUACUGGGUGUAAAGGGAGCGUAGACGGACCGGCAAGUCUGAAGUGAAAUUCCAGGGCUCAACCCUGGGACUGCUUUGGAAACUGCAGAUCUUGAGUACCGGAGGGGUAAGCGGAAUUCCUAGUGUAGCGGUGAAAUGCGUAGAUAUUAGGAAGAACACCAGUGGCGAAGGCGGCUUACUGGACGGUAACUGACGUUGAGGCUCGAAAGCGUGGGUAGCAAACAGGAUUAGAUACCCGGGUAGUC